AGUCGAGGGGCAGCAUAAUGGAUAGCAAUAUCUAUGGUGGCGACCGGCGCACGGGUGCGUAACGCGUAUGCAACCUACCUUUAACAGGGGGAUAACACUGAGAAAUUGGUACUAAUACCCCAUAAUAUCAUAGAAGGCAUCUUUUAUGGUUGAAAAUUCCGAUGGUUAGAGAUGGGCAUGCGUUGUAUUAGCUAGUUGGUGGGGUAACGGCUCACCAAGGCGACGAUACAUAGGGGGACUGAGAGGUUAACCCCCCACACUGGUACUGAGACACGGACCAGACUCCUACGGGAGGCAGCAGUGAGGAAUAUUGGUCAAUGGACGCAAGUCUGAACCAGCCAUGCCGCGUGCAGGAUGACGGCUCUAUGAGUUGUAAACUGCUUUUGUACGAGGGUAAACGCAGAUACGUGUAUCUGUCUGAAAGUAUCGUACGAAUAAGGAUCGGCUAACUCCGUGCCAGCAGCCGCGGUAAUACGGAGGAUCCAAGCGUUAUCCGGAUUUAUUGGGUUUAAAGGGUGCGUAGGCGGUUUGAUAAGUUAGAGGUGAAAUUUCGGGGCUCAACCCUGAACGUGCCUCUAAUACUGUUGAGCUAGAGAGUAGUUGCGGUAGGCGGAAUGUAUGGUGUAGCGGUGAAAUGCUUAGAGAUCAUACAGAACACCGAUUGCGAAGGCAGCUUACCAAACUAUAUCUGACGUUGAGGCACGAAAGCGUGGGGAGCAAACAGGAUUAGAUACCCUGGUAGUCCACGCAGUAAACGAUGAUAACUCGUUGUCGGCGAUACACAGUCGGUGACUAAGCGAAAGCGAUAAGUU
rnacentral:rRNA from 1 species